AGUGAUUCAACCGCGCCACCGAGCGCGGAGCUGCCCUGGAGGACGCAGGCGGGUCUAGUUGCCCGGGUCCCCCAAGGCCCCCGGAUUCACCCAGGCCCGCGACUCCGACGUGCAGCUUAGGUCAAGAAUACCUGGCCUGCCCACCUCGCGGGGCCCUUAGCGGGUCGCACAGGAGAAAGGCGGUGGGAAUGCCGGUGUCAGCCACGGUGUGACCGGCUCGGCUCACAGGUCUGAGGGUCAGUUGGCUCAGGCAUCGCCCGGUACGACCAGAGAUAGUGACUGAGGAAGAGCAGCCUCACAUCUGGCAGUUUGCCUCUGGGAGAAUUCCAGCGUGACAUCUGCAGCUCUGUGGUUCCAGAAAGGAUGGUUCCCACAUUGAAGAAGACAUCUGUGGGACUGAGUUCCACCGAAAUGCAGAGGAACCAAAAAUGAAAAUGAAAAAUGUAACCAGAGUUGUGUGCCACUAGUUUUAAGCUUUGGUUUUUCUAAAUUAUUUUCUGGCUUCUCCUUCUGGGCUUUGCUGUAAACUUGCCAAGCAUGAGAACAACUCUUCAUCUAUUGAGUGGCAUUUUAAGCCAUCCUGUCAAAGUAUCUCCUGUCAUUUUUAUUAUUAUUACUCUAUAUUGCCUGCAAGACACGACUGGAGAAUUCUUAGUGUAAGAAUUGUUUGUUUCCUCUCUCCUUCUUUCCCACGUUUUCCCAGGGAAGUCAGUCUUGCAUUUUAAUGCAUACUAUAUACAUAUCUCGUUUAGCUUACUGAACCACUUGUUUUAACAGAAUAAAACUGUGCAAAAUUUUAA
rnacentral:lncRNA from 1 species